rnacentral:rRNA from 1 species
CCACGCUGUAAACGAUGAGUGCUAGAUUUUGGUAGUCAAAUAUCAGAAUCGAAGUUAACAUAUUAAGCACUCCGCCUGGGGAGUACGUGCGCAAGCAUGAAACUCAAAGGAAUUGACGGGGACCCGCACAAGCAGCGGAGCAUGUGGUUUAAUUCGUGGCUACGCGAAGAACCUUACCAGGGCUUGACAUAUACAUGAUAGAACCUAGAGAUAGGGGAAAGGAUGGAACUUGUUCCAUACAUGUAUACAGGUGGUGCAUGGUUGU